rnacentral:rRNA from 1 species
AGAGUUUGAUCCUGGCUCAGAUUGAACGCUGCGGCCAUGCCUACCACAUGCAAGUCGAACGGCAACGCGGGGGCAACCCUGGCGACGAGUGGCGGACGGGUGAGGAAUGCUUGGGAAUCUGCCUGUUAGUGGGGGACAACCCGGGGAAACUCGGGCUAAUACCGCAUACGCUCUACGGAGGAAAGCGGGGGACCGCAAGGCCUCGCGCUAACAGAUGAGCCCAAGUCGGAUUAGCUAGUUGGUGGGGUAAAAGCCUACCAAGGCAACGAUCCGUAGCUGGUCUGAGAGGACGAUCAGCCACACUGGGACUGAGACACGGCCCAGACUCCUACGGGAGGCAGCAGUGGGGAAUAUUGGACAAUGGGGGAAACCCUGAUCCAGCAAUGCCGCGUGUGUGAAGAAGGCCUGCGGGUUGUAAAGCACUUUUGGCAGGGAAGAAAAGCACUGGCCGAAUACGUCAGUGUGUUGACGUAACCUGCAGAAGAAGCACCGGCUAACUCUGUGCCAGCAGCCGCGGUAAUA